rnacentral:rRNA from 13 species
UUGGCUUAGAAGCAGCCAUCCUUUAAAGAAAGCGUAACAGCUCACUGGUCUAGACAAGCCGGCCUGCGCCGAAGAUGUAACGGGGCUAAAGCCACAUACCGAAGCUGAGGACGUGAUUUAUCACGUGGUAGCAGAGCGUUCUGUAGGCCUGCGAAGCGUAAUCGUGAGAUUGCGUGGAGGUAUCAGAAGUGAGAAUGCUGACAUGAGUAGCGAUAAAGAGUGUGAGAAACACUCUCGCCGUAAGCCCAAGGGUUCCUGCGCAAGGCUAAUCCGCGCAGGGUGAGUCGGCCCCUAAGACGAGGGCGAAAGCCGUAGUCGAUGGGAAUCAGGUUAAUAUUCCUGAACCUGUUGGUAGUGACGGAUGACGUAAGUUGUACAUGCUUAACGGAUUGUGUGUGCAGCGAAGUUGUCCCAGGAAAUAGCUCCAACAUUAAGACCGUACCCCAAACCGACACAGGUGGGCAGGUAGAGCAUACCGAGGCGCUUGAGAGAACGAUGUUGAAGGAACUCGGCAAAUUGCCCCCGUAACUUCGGGAGAAGGGGGACCUCCAUUUAGGCAACUAGAUGGGGGUGGCACAGACCAGGGGGUGGCGACUGUUUAUUAAAAACACAGGGCUCUGCGAAGUAGAUAAUACGACGUAUAGGGUCUGACGCCUGCCCGGUGCCGGAAGGUUAAGAGGAGAGGUGCAAGCUUUGAAUCGAAGCCCCGGUAAACGGCGGCCGUAACGAUAACGGUCCUAAGGUAGCGAAGUUCCUUGUCGGGUAAGUUCCGACCCGCACGAAAGGCGUAACGAUCAGGGCGCUGUCUCGGAGAGAGGCUCGGCGAAAUAGAAUUGUCUGUGAAGAUGCGGACUACAUACACCCGGACAGAAAGACCCUAUGAAGCUUUACUGUAGCUUGGUAUUGUGCCCGGGCUCUGAAUGCGCAGGAUAGGUGGGAGACGUUGAUCUAGUGCUCGUGGGUGCUAGGGAGUCAAUGGUGAGAUACCACUCUUUCAGAGCUAGGGUUCUAACGUUCACCCGUUAUCCGGGGAGCGGACAGUAUCAGGUGGGCAGUUUGACUGGGGCGGUCGCCUCCUAAAAGGUAACGGAGGCGCGCAAAGGUUUCCUCAGGCUGGUUGGAAAUCAGCCGACGAGUGCAAAAGCAGAAGGAAGCUUGACUGUGAGACCUACAAGUCGAACAGGGACGAAAGUCGGCUUUAGUGAUCCGACGGUUCUGAGUGGAAGGGCCGUCGCUCAACGGAUAAAAGUUACUCUAGGGAUAACAGGCUGAUCUCCCCCAAGAGUUCACAU